rnacentral:rRNA from 1 species
CCUACGGGUGGCAGCAGUGGGGAAUAUUGCACAAUGGGCGCAAGCCUGAUGCAGCCAUGCCGCGUGUGUGAAGAAGGCCUUCGGGUUGUAAAGCACUUUCAGCGGGGAGGAAGGCGUUAAGGUUAAUAACCUUGUCGAUUGACGUUACCCGCAGAAGAAGCACCGGCUAACUCCGUGCCAGCAGCCGCGGUAAUACGGAGGGUGCAAGCGUUAAUCGGAAUUACUGGGCGUAAAGCGCACGCAGGCGGUCUGUCAAGUCGGAUGUGAAAUCCCCGGGCUCAACCUGGGAACUGCAUUCGAAACUGGCAGGCUAGAGUCUUGUAGAGGGGGGUAGAAUUCCAGGUGUAGCGGUGAAAUGCGUAGAGAUCUGGAGGAAUACCGGUGGCGAAGGCGGCCCCCUGGACAAAGACUGACGCUCAGGUGCGAAAGCGUGGGGAGCAAACAGGAUUAGAUACCAUUGUAGUC